rnacentral:rRNA from 1 species
ACUUAUAACAAUGGAUCUCUAGGCUCCUGCAUCGAUGAAGAACG